rnacentral:rRNA from 1 species
CUACGUGAUCUGAGUUCAGACCGGAGACCCUGCUAUACUGAGUUUUCUAUAACACUAUGGAAAUUUUUAUGUUAGAACUAGUAACAAGAAGAAGACCCUUCUCUUAAAUGUUAGUGUAAAUCAGAGAGGACAAACCACUGAUAUUUAACAUCCUUGAACUAAAAGUAAUAACUAACCAAGAAAACUCUACCACAAUUUAUGUAAACCUAACACAAGCACAUUUUAAGAAAGAUUAAAAGAAAAAGAAGGAACUCGGCAAAUAUUAACCCCGCCUGUUUACCAAAAACAUCGCCUCUUGUACACAAUAAGAGGUCCAGCCUGCCCAGUGACUCUGUUCAACGGCCGCGGUAUCCUAACCGUGCGAAGGUAGCGUAAUCACUUGUUCUUUAAAUGAGGACUAGUAUGAAUGGCAUCACGAAGGUUACACUGUCUCCUUUUUUUAAUCAGUGAAACUAAUCUCCCCGUGAAGAAGCGGGGAUGAAACUAUAAGACGAGAAGACCCUAUGGAGCUUUAAACAACAUAGCACUUACCACACUACAUUUUUAAAUUAAACUUUUUAGGUAAUAUGACUAUAAGUUUUUGGUUGGGGUGACCACGGAGCAUAACAUAACCUCCACGUUGAAGAAAUUCUAUUUUUAACCAAGAGCCACCAAUCUAAGCAUCAAAAUCUUGACAUUUCAUUGACCCAAUACUUUUGAACAACGAACCAAGUUACCCUAGGGAUAACAGCGCAAUCCACUUUAAGAGCCCAUAUCGACAAGUGGGUUUACGACCUCGAUGUUGGAUCAGGGUCUCCAAGUGGUGCAGCCGCUACUAAAAGGUUCGUUUGUUCAACGAUUAAAAACCCUACGUGAUCUGA